ensembl:lncRNA
AGAUUGACAUGGCCUUGUUUCUAAGAUCACGUUUCAGCGUGGAAAACUCAGGUCCUCCUCCUCAGCAGGCACUGCUGAUGCUGCCAUGCCAGGUGCUGGGGGCUGACACCAGACAAGCAAGGCGCUGAAUCCCCUCGGUGCAUCUCAGCCAUUGGCUUCAACCUUGCUCCUGCCAGCCUCUCCUCUGCCAAAUUCCAUACGAGGUCAAGAUGAAUUAACAGACCCCCAAGCCAUGGACCACCUGGCCAGAGAAUCAUAAACCACAGAUAUCCUGACUUCAAAACCUCAAUUAAGGAAAGUCAUAGAAACGUCACAUGAUUGAUCCUGGUCUCUUUCUUC